rnacentral:rRNA from 1 species
UACGUAGGGUGCGAGCGUUAAUCGGAAUUACUGGGCGUAAAGCGUGCGCAGGCGGCUUUGCAAGACAGAUGUGAAAUCCCCGGGCUCAACCUGGGAGCUGCAUUUGUGACUGCAAGGCUAGAGUACGGCAGAGGGGGAUGGAAUUCCGCGUGUAGCAGUGAAAUGCGUAGAUAUGCGGAGGAACACCAAUGGCGAAGGCAAUCCCCUGGGCCUGUACUGACGCUCAUGCACGAAAGCGUGGGGAGCAAACAGG